AAACCAGUCAUUUGGUCUUGGCCCUCAUAAAAAAACCCGGCCCAUUACCACUCUUCUUCCCCUCUCUCACAGUCUCUUCAGUGCUGAAAUUGCAAACAAGCAGGCAUCAAUGCAAAGGGUUUUAGCCGGUCUUGAAAGGUUGUGAAUUAAUUGGCACUUCAGGAAGGAGAUCAAAAGUGUAUUGGAUGAAACGUACAGGGUGAGGACUGAGGAGGAUAUAUUCUUAGAUACUGCCCCCUGUGCAAUGGUGUUUCGGGUACUACGUGUUAAUGGAUAUGAUGUUUCUUCAGAUCCAUUUACCUGACAUUCAGAAGAUCAUUUCUCCAGUUCCCCUGGAGGAUAUGUGAAGACAUUGGUGCUGUCUUGGGGUUAUUUAGGGCGUCUGAAAUCAUCGUACAUUCUGAUGAAUUUGUUCUGGAUAAACAAACUUUCUGGACCAGUCAUUUUCUGAUAUAAGAAUUAUCCAAUGGUUCAAUUCAUGCAGAUGGAUGAAAUAUAUAUGUUGGCCAACAGGUGGACGAUGCUCUUAAGUUUCCUUACCAUGCAAAUAUGGAUCGUCUAUCAAACAGGAGAGCCAUUGAGCAUUACAAUAAAAGAAAUACAAGGAUUUUAAAAACUGCAUAUAGGUAAACCUAUGGUGGUUUUUUGUCCUUCAUUCUUUAAUUUAUGGAAUAUGGAGAUUUUAAGUCUGCUAAAGAAUUAGCCAUUUUAGUGGAAUAUUUUAUUUAUCUUUGUUUUCUUCUUAUGUCAGUUCUUUAAAUACUGGCAAUGAAGAUUUCCUAAAACCGGCAGUACAAGACUUCAACAUGUGCAUAUCUUUGUGUAGUUUCAACUAUCUUGUUAUCAUGACUGGCAUUUUCUUGAAAUUUUUAUUAUAGCAGGGUCAAAGGUUGGCACGUGUAACAGGAUAAAAAAUCAACUAGAAGCAACUCCAUUUGUUGGCAAAAAAUCAUUUUAAUCUGGAAUCACUGGUUUUCCUUGUUACUAUUGGAUUGUGGUUGUUACUUGACCAUGGUGUCAAGAAAAAUCAAUUAAAUUGUUGGUCAUUGAGAUAUCUUCUUGCUUUAAAUAAUGCAAGGAAGUGUAAUAUCAUCUUUUGUUUGUACAAUUUUACAUUUUCAUGUAAGCCGGUGGGUUAUAGUCUUAUAGAGAGCAGAUUAGACAAGCUAAAGCCUACUGUUACUUCUCUGUUGCAGCAACCUUUUCUUCCCUGAACUUUCUGAUCCUCAAAAAAAUAAAACAAAAAUCAGUCCCGCAUUUUUUAUUGAUGAAGCUUUUUUUUUUAUAAGUUGUUAUUGAUGAAGCUAUGAACUUCUUAUUGUUGAUAAUUUGGUGAUUGACAUUGGCAUAAUCUGCUUUUGGUUGGCCAAAACGGGUCUAUCAAAAAGGGAUCCUCCUUUAAAGCAAGUAAAGGAAUGCCUUUGUCUGCAGUGUGCUUUCUCUAUUUUCACAUUAGAUAAUAUUGAUUAUAUUAAUAUAUAAAUGAAAUACAAAAAAACAUGCUAAGAAUUCUACCAUUACUUUUGGACUACUUGUAAAAUUUGAAAAUUAUUCUGUAGCAGUGUCGUUAGGUUCUCUUUUUUACCAUCCUAUAGCUGAAUGUAAAACCAAGGGAACGAUAAUUUUAAUACUCAAUAGAAAUUCUGUUCUUCUGAUUUAAAUUGUUUGUCUUUUCAUAAUAUACACAAAAUGUGGUUUGAAUACUGUAGUCUGCUGUUGAGAUUCUGAAGAUGACAUUUUCAUGUCAAUGAAGUUGCAAAUAUCAACUCUGGUGAAGAACAUAUUUUACAGAAUUUAGACCUUGAAGAAGUCGGGGAUCCAGCAAAUCAGGUACACGUGAUUAUAUUUUAGGGGUCCCCUUGCACCGCCCUGUUUGGUUGUGACUAUUAUUUGAUAUAUAAAUUGGGAAUACAUUUGAUGAUGUAUUAUCUAGUCCAGCUAUUUCUCUAUUGUAAUCCACAAUGUAAAUAUCUGUACAAUGGUUACAUUGUAUGAAAUGAAGCUACCACCCAUUAUGGGUGCAUUUGAUUUCAACAUGUAACUUGGACCAUCAUUGCAGUAGAUUUCAGUCAAAUUUAAUAUCUAGGCAGGGAACCCAAAAAAAGAAAGAAAAAGAACUGUCAUGCAUGAUAUGAGAUACAGAUUGUUGGCUAGAAAGAGGGUUAAAAAGAUCAAUUCAAGACAGUUUUGACUUUUGAGUAGCCAAGAGCAUCGUAGCUCGGUGGCAUUGCCUGUCUCCUCUAUGAAGAAAACCAAGGUUCAAAUCCCCCCUACCCCACUUAUUGUAACAAUUGAAUUAUCCAAAAAGAAAAGACAAAA